UACGUAGGGGGCAAGCGUUUGUCCGGAUUUAUUGGGCGUAAAGAGCGUGUAGGCGGUUUGGUAGGUCCGCUGUGAAAACUCGAGGCUCAACCUCGAGACGCCGGUGGAAACCAUCAGGCUAGAGUCCGGAAGAGGAGAGUGGAAUUCCUGGUGUAGCGGUGAAAUGCGCAGAUAUCAGGAAGAACACCCGUGGCGAAGGCGGGUCUCUGGGCCGAUACUGACGCUGAGGAGCGAAAGCGUGGGGAGCGAACGGG
rnacentral:rRNA from 1 species